CUCUCAUAUUCCGCCAUCCCGGGCCGCGGCCUAGGCCAGGCGCUUCCGGGUUACACACCGAUGGGCGGGACUUCCUGCCGCGGGGCGGGGUCUCGUGCUCGGGAGUCGCCCAGUGCCCAGCCCCCGCCUCUUCCUUCGCUGCCAGGGCUGGCGCUGACCCCCCGGGAGCCGGGCCGAGCCAGUUGCUGACUGUUGAAGGAAGAAAGAGAGUUCCUAGCAGUCAUUAGCUUUUCAUAUCUCAAUAUUCAGCCUUCCUGUAAAGGUAACUUAAAGGGAAAGAGCAAUGGGACAAGAAUCAGGAUUCAGAAACAGAAAUGGGCAAUAAACAAACCAUUUUCACUCCAGAGCAGCUGGAUGCGUAUCAGGACUGCACAUUCUUUACAAGGAAAGAAAUUCUGAGGGGAAAAGGUCUGCUCAUUUCAAAGGCAAGAUUGUUUUACAGAUACCGAGACCUGGCCCCACAGCUGGUCCCACUCAGCUACAUAGAUAAACCAGAUGUGAAGCUUCCCUAUGAACUCAUUGGCAGCAUGGCAGAGCUGAAGGACAAUCCAUUCCGUCAACGGAUAGCAGAAGUUUUCUCAGAGGAUGGAGAGGGCAACAUGACUUUAGAUGACUUUUUGGACAUGUUUUCAGUGCUGAGUGAAAUGGCUCCCAGAGACCUCAAAGCUUACUAUGCCUUUAAAAUUUAUGAUUUUAACAAUGAUGAUUACAUAUGCAAAUCAGACUUGGAGAAAACUGUUAACAAACUGACCAGAAAUGAACUUACCCCAGAGGAGGUUUGUCUUGUAUGUGAUAAGGUGAUUGAUGAAGCUGAUCAAGACAAUGAUGGCAGACUCUCUGUGGAAGAUUUUCAGCACAUGAUAGUAGGAGCUCCUGAUUUCCUCAGUACAUUUCACAUUCGAAUCUGAAUCUGGUGAAAGAGAGAGAUGAGAACUGCAUCUUGAGUCUGCAAUAUGUCAUUACCUUUUGCUUGAGGUUACUGUUCAUAUGAAAGAGAUAAAUAAAGAGGACCAAAUAAGGAUUUUCAGACACUGAAGAGCAAGUCAGAAAAGUCUUGUUUUCUCUCGUUUAAAUCUUAAGAUACAAAGGGAAAUCCUGAUGAAUUGUAAUUUAGCAGAAGUGUUUUUUUGGCCAAUAAAAUAUUUUUUAAAAAAGUCUUGUUUUGAUUUACAGCCUGAGCAGAUCUGAUCUGUAAUGCAGUAAUGGAGAAUACAUGCAGCACAACAUGCUGUCAUUUUCAGAAGAAACUAUUUUUUGUAGUUCAGAGUGAGUCACGCCCUAAAAAGAACGUACAAAAAAAUAUACACCUCUACCCCGAUAUAAUACGGUCCUCGGGAGCCAAAAAAUCUUACUGCUCUAUAGUUUGCUGUGCUAGCGUGGAUCCUGAAAUGCAGCCGCUGGUUUCAGUCAGAUUCUCAGGGAGCAAAGCCACUAAGAGAUUUGCACAACUCGUAUCAUUAUUUAAAAGAACUGUGUGAGAAAACAAUUCUUCAUAAUCAAUAUUUUAAUCACUCUCCUGAAAAGAAAAAAAUAGACAACAGUGAAUAAGACUAUGAACAGGACCCUACGUGCUCUGUGACCUGCAGAAUAUGUCAAGGAACCUGAGCCUGGAAUCUGUGGUGUUCUAGUGCAGCAGACUGAAAAUUUGGUCUUUGCUUCAGAUAUAUGUGUAAAUGGAUUUUUUUUUAACUGAAUUAUGUGUGAAAAUGAGUAAUUCAAUUGGAACAACCUUCUUGUGUUAUUUAAUUUGGUAUUAAAUUUCAUUCAUUUAAAAAUGCAAGGACAGGGUAAAUUUUUGAUGUGCUGCAAAAUUUUGUAUUGAAAAUGCUUAGUUGCAUCACAGAAGUUGUCAGGAGUGAAGCUGGGGGUUUUGGGAGCUGGUUAGGGGACAGCUGGGGAAUUAUGGAAGGUUUUGAUAAACAUUGUUGAGAUGAAUGGGGCAGUUCACAUCCCCCGUAGAGCUACUGGUUCAGCCUGUCCGUAGAUGAAGGCAGACAUCACUGCAUUUAUUACAAUUGCUUCUCAUUUUUUUUAAUUAAAAAAAGUUAUUCUGGAGGACAAUUCCAUGGCAAAUUCCAUUGCUACAGCAUCACUGAAUACUGGGGACUCUGAAUAUAAAUAAUGGCUCAAGUUAACAUUAGAAAAUGAAAGCAGGGAUGCAGCCUGGAAUGCCGAGCACCACAUACUAGCUCAUUUUUUCAUUAAUAAAACAAUUUUAAAAGCCUGUCUGAGGGAUCAGGGGAGGGGAAUUCCUGGUCCUGCAUCUAUUUUCAAGCUCUAUUUCUGUAUCCAGUCUUUGCUACUGCAGGUCUGUGAUUUCUCAGCACUCAACAGCCUUCCUGUACGUCACUUAUAGUUUCCAGAGAGGCUGACUCAGAACAAAGUUAUCUAGGAUUUUAAUAAGCAUCAACCACACAUUAGUAGCAUCACCUAUAUCACCCAGCAAGAGGCACUGUAUGAUUACUGAAAGCUGCAACAAUAUCAUUUCUUCCUUAUGUUCACAGACCCAGGAGCAGUUUAUAUUGUUUCUGCACCAUAAGUAAAAUACAGUUACAGUACUCUACUGUAGGGCAAAAACAAAAGAUGAGGCACAUUCCUACUUGACUUACCUAUCCACGUAGUUGGAU